CUAGACAAUCAAGCUCUUCUCUUUCUGUUCUCUCAAUCUCCCUCUCUGCUCGUAAGGGUUUUGAUCUCCUCCUGCGAUUGAAGUACGAGCAGACUCUCUCGGUUCAUAUCUCUCCCUCUCAAACCACGAACUCGCCUCCCUCCAAAACCCCAUCUUCAGCUGACUAGUGUCCUACAUAAUUGACGAGUAUCGCUGUGGCCGUGCCCCUAAUCCAGAUGUUCUUUGCAAUACGAGAAUAAAGUUCGGUUCAUUUAUGGAUGCCAUCAGCAGUAUGGAGUUCGACUACGUUGCUUUAUGGACAUUGUGCGAACGUUGUCUCAUUUACAAAUGAAAGGGGCGAUGCAUCUGUUUUGGAACUAUCACAAGACAUGGUGAAAGAUCAUGGAUUGAGCAAAAGCAAACUAGUCAUGGAUAUGGUUAUUUGGUUGGAAUUGAAGAGAGAAUGAAUUCCAUUUUGACUUAGGGAGUGUUUUAUUGCGUAUGUUUGAAGAAUAAAAUGACUUAAGUUUGUAU